CGGCGUGCUGAACACAGACAAGUCGAACGGGAUUUCGUAGACGGAAGGUUCGGUGGAAGAUUACUAAUGAGAGUGGCGAACGGGUGAGUAACGCGUGAGCAACCCGCAUAUGACAGUGGGAUAGCCUCGGGAAUCCGGGAUUAAUACCGCAUAAAAUGGUAGAAACUCAUGUUUUAACGGUUAAAGAUUUAUCGGUCAUAGAUGGGCUGGCGUGGGAUUACAUAGUUGGUGAGAUAACAGCCCACCAAGGCGACGAUCAGUACCCGGUCUGAGAGGAUGAACGCCCACAUUGGAGGGGAGACACGGUCCAAAAUCUUACGGGAGGCAGCAGUGGGGAAUAUUGCACAAUGGGGGAAACCAUGAAGCAGUGACGCUGCGUGAACGAAGAAGGUAUUCGUAUCGUAAAGUUCUGUCCUAUGGGAAGAUAAUGACAGUACCAUAGAAGAAAGCUCCGGCUAAAUACGUCCCAGCAGCCGCGGUAAUACGUAUGGAGCGAGCGUUGUCCGGAAUUAUUGGGCGUAAAGGGUACGCAGGCGGUUUAAUAAGUCGAAUGUUAAAGAUCGGGGCUCAACCCGGUAAAGCAUUGGAAACUGAUAAACUUGAGUAGUGGAGAGGAAAGUGGAAUUCCUAGUGUAGUGGUGAAAUACGUAGAUAUUAGGAGGAACACCAGUAGCGAAGGCGACUUUCUGGACACAAACUGACGCUG
rnacentral:rRNA from 1 species